rnacentral:rRNA from 1 species
AUUGAACGCCGGCGGAAUGCCUUACACAUGCAAGUCGAACGGCAGCACGGACUUCGGUCUGGUGGCGAGUGGCGAACGGGUGAGUGAUGUAUCGGAACGUGCCCAGUCGUGGGGGAUAACGUAGUGAAAAUUACGCUAAUACCGCAUACGAUCUAUGGAUGAAAGCGGGGGAUCGCAAGACCUCGCGCGAUUGGAGCGGCCGAUAUCAGAUUAGGUAGUUGGUGGGGUAAAGGCCCACCAAGCCAACGAUCUGUAGCUGGUCUGAGAGGACGACCAGCCACGCUGGAACGGAGACACGGUCCAGACUCCUACGGGAGGCAGCAGUGGGGAAUUUUGGACAAUGGGCGAAAGCCUGAUCCAGCCAUUCCGCGUGCAGGAUGAAGGCCCUCGGGUUGUAAACUGCUUUUGUACAGAACGAAAAGGUUUCUACUAAUACUAGGAGCUCAUGACGGUACUGUAAGAAUAAGCACCGGCUAACUACGUGCCAGCCGCCGCGGUAA